CCCUUAAUGAUAACACCAGCCCUAAUCCUAAAACUAACACUAACCCUACCAUAAUCCUAUCAUAGACAUAACCCUACAUGUAACCCUUGCCCUUGCCCUAAAGUAGCUCAAAACUUAAUCCUUACACUAAAUAUAACCAUAAACCUAACCCUAGUUACAAACUGAAACCUAACCAUAACUCAAGAUCUAUUUGUAACCAUAACUCUAGUUCUAACAUAAGCUAUAAUCCUACCCAUGCCCCUAAUGAUAACCCAAAACUUAAUGUUAACCCUAAGCCUAAACCUAACCUUAUGGAUAAUCCUAACCCUAUCAAUUACCCUAAACCUAACCAGAACCCUAAACCAAACCUUAUCAUUACCCUAAAACUAACCCUAAUGCUAAUUCGAGCCUUAAACCUAAAUCCUAACCUAAACCAAACCCUAAACUUGACCCUAACCCUAAAAAUUCCCCUAGCUCAAAACCUGAACCUUACCCUAAACCUAACCCUUACACUAGAUGUAGCCAUAAACCUGACCCUAACACUAUCUUUAACCAUAACGCCAGACCUGAUAUUAGCUCUAGUCAUAAUCCUAGCCCUAAACUUAAAACAAACACUAGCCCUCAUCCUAGCCCUAAACCUAGCCUUAAUCAUAACCCUAAGCCUAACCCUAGCCCUAAACCUAGCAUUAAUCAUAACCCUAAGCCUAACCCUAGCCCUAACCCUACAUUAACCCCCACCCUACCUCUAAACCUAGAUAUAACAGCAUCUCUUAUCCUAAACAUAACCAUGACCAUAAACCUAUUGCUAGGCCUAAGCUGAACACUAACCCUAGCCAUAAUCCUAGACCUAAUUUAAUCCUAUCCCAAACCUGAAUCCUAAUCCUAUCCCUUAGAAAAACUUUAUCUCUCACACUAGCCCGAUCAUAGUUCUAACCCUAUCCCUUACAAUGACUCUAACCAUAGCCCUCACACUUGCCCUAUCAUUAGUAAUAGCCUAACCCUAGAUCUAAACCUAACUCUAAAUGUAUCCCUAACCAUAAGUCUAAGCCUAACACUAACACUAGCCCUAACCCUAAUACUUAUCAUAAAACUAACCCUAACCCUAACCCUAGAAAUAAAAAAAAGUAAAUAAACCGAGCAAUAGACCUAACCCUAAAUCUUAACAUAAACCAAACGCUAAACUAUACCUAGAACUAAUCCUAGCCCUAAUUCGAUUCCUAACCCUAACCUUAAAACUAAUCCUGACCCUGAUUCUUAUCCUAACACUCACCUUAGGUCUAAACAACACUCUAACCUUAAACCAAAACCUAACAGUAAACCUAACUCUAAUUAGAGUCCUAACCCUAACCCUAAAACUAACCCUGUCCCU
rnacentral:lncRNA from 1 species